AGAGUUUGAUCAUGGCUCAGAUUGAACGCUGGCGGCAGGCUUAACACAUGCAAGUCGAGCGGGGUGAUGUAGCUUGCUACAUUACCUAGCGGCGGACGGGUGAGUAAUGCUUAGGAAUCUGCCUAUUAGUGGGGGACAACAUUCCGAAAGGAAUGCUAAUACCGCAUACGCCCUACGGGGGAAAGCAGGGGAUCUUCGGACCUUGCGCUAAUAGAUGAGCCUAAGUCAGAUUAGCUAGUUGGUGGGGUAAAGGCCUACCAAGGCGACGAUCUGUAGCGGGUCUGAGAGGAUGAUCCGCCACACUGGGACUGAGACACGGCCCAGACUCCUACGGGAGGCAGCAGUGGGGAAUAUUGGACAAUGGGCGAAAGCCUGAUCCAGCCAUGCCGCGUGUGUGAAGAAGGCCUUUUGGUUGUAAAGCACUUUAAGCGAGGAGGAGGCUACUUAGAUUAAUACUCUAGGAUAGUGGACGUUACUCGCAGAAUAAGCACCGGCUAACUCUGUGCCAGCAGCCGCGGUAAUACAGAGGGUGCGAGCGUUAAUCGGAUUUACUGGGCGUAAAGCGUGCGUAGGCGGCUUCUUAAGUCGGAUGUGAAAUCCCUGAGCUUAACUUAGGAAUUGCAUUCGAUACUGGGAAGCUAGAGUAUGGGAGAGGAUGGUAGAAUUCCAGGUGUAGCGGUGAAAUGCGUAGAGAUCUGGAGGAAUACCGAUGGCGAAGGCAGCCAUCUGGCCUAAUACUGACGCUGAGGUACGAAAGCAUGGGGAGCAAACAGGAUUAGAUACCCUGGUAGUCCAUGCCGUAAACGAUGUCUACUUGCCGUUGGGGCCUUUGAGGCUUUAGUGGCGCAGCUAACGCGAUAAGUAGACCGCCUGGGGAGUACGGUCGCAAGACUAAAACUCAAAUGAAUUGACGG
rnacentral:rRNA from 1 species